GAUGAACGCUGGCGGCGUGCCUAAUACAUGCAAGUCGAGCGAACAGAUGAGGAGCUUGCUCCUCUGACGUUAGCGGCGGACGGGUGAGUAACACGUGGAUAACCUACCUAUAAGACUGGGAUAACUUCGGGAAACCGGAGCUAAUACCGGAUAAUAUAUUGAACCGCAUGGUUCAAUAGUGAAAGACGGUUUUGCUGUCACUUAUAGAUGGAACCGCGCCGCAUUAGCUAGUUGGUAAGGUAACGGCUUACCAAGGCAGCGAUGCGUAGCCGACCUGAGAGGGUGAUCGGCCACACUGGAACUGAGACACGGUCCAGACUCCUACGGGAGGCAGCAGUAGGGAAUCUUCCGCAAUGGGCGAAAGCCUGACGGAGCAACGCCGCGUGAGUGAUGAAGGUCUUCGGAUCGUAAAACUCUGUUAUUAGGGAAGAACAAAUGUGUAAGUAACUAUGCACGUCUUGACGGUACCUAAUCAGAAAGCCACGGCUAACUACGUG
rnacentral:rRNA from 1 species